rfam:Jatropha curcas cultivar GZQX0401 scaffold687_8, whole genome shotgun sequence.
GGUCCUGUAGCUCAGUUGGUUAGAGCAUGGCUUUUAUGAGCUGAAGGUCGCGAGUUCGAUUCUCGCUGGGACCA